rnacentral:rRNA from 1 species
CCCUUAGAUGUUCUGGGCCGCACGCGCGCUACACUGAUGCAUUCAACGAGUUUCUUCCUGGUCCGAGAGGAAUGGGUAACCUUUUGAAAGUGCAUCGUGAUAGGGAUAGACUAUUGCAAUUAUUGGUCUUCAACGAGGAAUUCCUAGUAGACGUAGUUCAUCAGACUGCAUCGAUUACGUCCCUGCCCUUUGUACACACCGCCCGUCGCUCCUACCGAUUGAAUGCUCAGGUGAGCCAUUCGGACUUUCAUCAUGCUGGUUUCCAGUUUUGAUGAAGGAAAGUCUUGCGAACCUUAUCAUUUAGAGGAAGGAGAAGUCGUAUCA